GAUGAACGCUGGCGGCGUACCUAAUACAUGCAAGUCGAGCGAACAGACGAGGAGCUUGCUCCUCUGACGUUAGCGUCGGACGGGUGAGUAACACGUGGAUAACCUACCUAUAAGACUGGGAUAACUUCGUGAAACCGGAGCUAAUACCGGAUAAUAUAUUGAACCGCAUGGUUCAAUAGUUAAAGACGGUUUUGCUGUCACUUAUAGAUGGAUCCGCUCCGCAUUAGCUAGUUGGUAAGGUAACGGCUUACCAAGGCAACGAUGCGUAGCCGACCUGAGAGGGUGAUCGGCCACACUGGAACUGAGACACGGUCCAGACUCCUACGGGAGGCAGCAGUAGGGAAUAUUCCGCAAUGGGCGAAAGCUUGACGGAGCAACGCCGCGUGAGUGAUGAAGGUCUUCGGAUCGUAAAACUCUGUUAUUAGGGAAGAACAAAUGUGUAAGUAACUAUGCACGUAUUGACGGUACCUAAUCAGAAAGCCACGGCUAACUACGUG
rnacentral:rRNA from 1 species